rnacentral:rRNA from 1 species
UAACGCGUGGGUAACCUGCCUCAUACAGGGGGAUAGCAGUUAGAAAUGACUGCUAAUACCGCAUAAGCGCACAGUGCUGCAUGGCACAGUGUGAAAAACUCCGGUGGUAUGAGAUGGACCCGCGUCUGAUUAGCUAGUUGGUGGGGUAACGGCCUACCAAGGCGACGAUCAGUAGCCGGCCUGAGAGGGUGAACGGCCACAUUGGGACUGAGACACGGCCCAA